rnacentral:rRNA from 1 species
GACGAACGCUGGCGGCGUGCUUAACACAUGCAAGUCGAACGCUGAAGCUUGGUGCUUGCACUGGGUGGAUGAGUGGCGAACGGGUGAGUAAUACGUGAGUAACCUGCCCUUGACUCUGGGAUAAGCCUGGGAAACUGGGUCUAAUACUGGAUAUGACAUGCCACUGCAUGGUGGUGUGUGGAAAGGGUUUUACUGGUUUUGGAUGGGCUCACGGCCUAUCAGCUUGUUGGUGGGGUAAUGGCCUACCAUGGCGACGACGGGUAGCCGGCCUGAGAGGGUGACCGGCCACACUGGGACUGAGACACGGCCCAGACUCCUACGGGAGGCAGCAGUGGGGAAUAUUGCACAAUGGGCGGAAGCCUGAUGCAGCGACGCCGCGUGAGGGAUGACGGCCUUCGGGUUGUAAACCUCUUUCAGCACGGAAGAAGCGAGAGUGACGGUACGUGCAGAAGAAGCGCCGGCUAACUACGUG